rnacentral:lncRNA from 1 species
AUCUCCAGACCGAUCAAAGGUCGAGUUUCAAUACAAGCCGAUCAAAAGUUUUGAACAUCUCAAGGCCGAUCAAAUGCCAAGUUUCAAUAUAAGUCAAUCAAAGACUUUUAAUAUCUCCAGGCUGAUCAAAGGUCGAGUUUCAAUAUAAAUCAAUCAAAAAUUUUUAAUAUCUCAAGAUCGAUCAAAGAUCGAGUUUUAAUAUAAGUCGAUCAAAGAAUUUUAAUAUCUCCAGGC